UACGAUUUACCGCGUAUCAACCAUCCAGCACCGGACGGGCGGUAACGGAUAGUAGCAAUACAAUGCAGUAUACACAGAAGGCAGGCAGCGUCGAUGUAAAUGAACAGACGGUUAUCGUUUGCCGAGACCCUUUAUCGGGACUGGAAAGGAAGGGGAAAGGAGGGCACAGGGGAAGGAGGACAAGCUAGAAGGUGAUGGGUGAAACCAGAAACAACAGCCCAUCCAGCCAUUCGGACUCCUCCCUCAAUCACUGAGGAGCCAUCAGUGUACAGAAUCCUCUAUCAUGCGCACUAGCUUCCCAACGUUGAGGACAUCUUCAAAAAGUGAUGCUUCAAAAAGGUGGCAUCCAUCAUUAAGGACUCCCAUCACAUGGACAUGCCUUCAAGGAGGAGGUACAGGAGCCUGAAGACACACACUCAAUGUUUUGGGAACAUUGCUUCUUCUCCUCCGUCAUGAGAUUUCUGGACAUUGAACAAAUGCGCACCAGCUCACUAUGUCUUUUGCUCCCUUUGCACUACUUAUUUAUAUAUUUUAUAGAUAUCUCUUAUUGGAAUGUGAAUUUUUGUACUGCUGCCACAAAACAACAAAUUUCUCAAUGUGUGCCGGUGAUAUGUAAUCUAAUACUGGUUCAAUAGAGGUAUCCCAUUGUAAUGAUUUGCAACUUAGUGGCAUGGAAUUAAAAAGUCAUAGAAGAGUACAACACAGAAACAGGUCCUUCAGUACAUCUAGUCCAUGCCUAACCAUUUAAACUGCCCACUCCCAUCGACCUGCACCAGAACCAUAGCCCUCCAUAUCCCUACCAUCCAAUGCACACAAUACUCCAAAUUUGGCAAACAAUAUCUUAUACAACUUCAACAUAACAUCCCAUCUCUUGUACUCAAUACUUUAAUGUAUGAAGGCAAAUGUGCCAAAAAAUAUCUGUACAACCCUAUCAAUCUAUAAUGCUACUUUCAAUGAAUUAUUAUUCAUAUUAUUAUUCUUUCACAGAUAUGGACAUCAUAGUCUGUGUCUUAUGGUAACAGUGUAGCAGCUACACUGUAGCUGGAUUCACUGGGCUUGUUCGUUGGAUGAUGAUAUAAGGUGACUCGACCAUUUAUCAGUCUUUUCUGGUCCAGGAGGCUGAUGAGAAACAAUCUUUCUCCUUUCAAAGGUUCCAUCUCCAGUGAUAUGUGUCUUCACUUCAUUGGUUCUCGAAGAGACUGAUGGUCAGUGUCACUGCCCUCAGAGGGGCUACUAGUUUGUGUUGCUACCUUCAGAAAGGCCACUGAUUUAAUUCACUACCUUCGGAGAGGCCGCUGGGUCCUGAUGCACUUGGAGAUGUUAUCUAAGUUCUAAGAUUCAUGGAUUGUCUGUAGUUCAUACUGGCCUCUUUUAGUUCUAUGUCCCCUUUGUGUUCUCGCCGAUUCACAGGCUGGGGUUUGGGUGUUCUGAUAUUUUAUGUGCGAGAGAAGAAUUGGUUGCAAGGAUUUAGGGUUUGGGAGUUCUUGUUUUUUUCUUUUUGUGCAUGGGGUGAUUGAUGUCUUUCUUUCAACUCCUUCUAUGGUUUUCUGUGUUUUAAUUGUUAUCUGUAGAAGUCAAAUCUCAGAGUUAUAUCCUACAUUUAUACUUUGAUAAUAAAAUUAACCUUUGAA